rnacentral:rRNA from 1 species
GACGAACGCUGGCGGCGUGCCUAAUACAUGCAAGUAGAACGCACAGUUUAUACCGUAGCUUGCUACACCAUAAACUGUGAGUUGCGAACGGGUGAGUAACGCGUAGGUAACCUGCCUGGUAGCGGGGGAUAACUAUUGGAAACGAUAGCUAAUACCGCAUAAUAUUGAUUAUUGCAUGAUAAUUGAUUGAAAGAUGCUAUUGCAUCACUACCAGAUGGACCUGCGUUGUAUUAGCUAGUAGGUGAGGUAACGGCUCACCUAGGCGACGAUACAUAGCCGACCUGAGAGGGUGAUCGGCCACACUGGGACUGAGACACGGCCCAGACUCCUACGGGAGGCAGCAGUAGGGAAUCUUCGGCAAUGGACGAAAGUCUGACCGAGCAACGCCGCGUGAGUGAAGAAGGUUUUCGGACCGUAAAGCUCUGUUGUAAGAGAAGAACGGGUGUGAGAGUGGAAAGUUCACACUGUGACGGUAUCUUACCAGAAAGGGACGGCUAACUACGUG